ACGCUGGCGGCGUGCCUAAUACAUGCAAGUCGAGCGAACAGAUGAGGAGCUUGCUCCUCUGACGUUAGCGGCGGACGGGUGAGUAACACGUGGAUAACCUACCUAUAAGACUGGGAUAACUUCGGGAAACCGGAGCUAAUACCGGAUAAUAUAUUGAACCGCAUGGUUCAAUAGUGAAAGACGGUUUUGCUGUCACUUAUAGAUGGAUCCGCGCCGCAUUAGCUAGUUGGUAAGGUAACGGCUUACCAAGGCAACGAUGCGUAGCCGACCUGAGAGGGUGAUCGGCCACACUGGAACUGAGACACGGUCCAGACUCCUACGGGAGGCAGCAGUAGGGAAUCUUCCGCAAUGGGCGAAAGCCUGACGGAGCAACGCCGCGUGAGUGAUGAAGGUCUUCGGAUCGUAAAACUCUGUUAUUAGGGAAGAACAAAUGUGUAAGUAACUAUGCACGUCUUGACGGUACCUAAUCAGAAAGCCACGGCUAACUACGUGCCAGCAGCCGCGGUAAUACGUAGGUGGCAAGCGUUAUCCGGAAUUAUUGGGCGUAAAGCGCGCGUAGGCGGUUUUUUAAGUCUGAUGUGAAAGCCCACGGCUCAACCGUGGAGGGUCAUUGGAAACUGGAAAACUUGAGUGCAGAAGAGGAAAGUGGAAUUCCAUGUGUAGCGGUGAAAUGCGCAGAGAUAUGGAGGAACACCAGUGGCGAAGGCGACUUUCUGGUCUG
rnacentral:rRNA from 1 species